AGAUCUCGCCUACGGGGGGCAGCAGUAGGGAAUCUUCCACAAUGGACGAAAGUCUGAUGGAGCAACGCCGCGUGAGUGAAGAAGGGUUUCGGCUCGUAAAGCUCUGUUGGUAGUGAAGAAAGAUAGAGGUAGUAACUGGCCUUUAUUUGACGGUAAUUACUUAGAAAGUCACGGCUAACUACGUGCC
rnacentral:rRNA from 1 species